rnacentral:misc_RNA from 1 species
GAAAAAGUUACCAAAACUCCAUCUUGACCGUCCCCUCCAUUUCUCAACUUCAGGUUCAACCGUCAGAUUAUUCCGUUUUUGCCCAUCACUUUCAGCUACAGUGGGGCCUCUCCUUCGUUUUUUAGCAACCGUUUUGGAGAGGAGAAAUGAGCUAGCCCCAGCUCUUUCCAACAAGAACUUCGAAGCUCGGAGGCUAUAGAGACUGAGGUUUCUUUACCCUUUAUUCCGGUUGCACUCCAGCGACUUCAGGCGAAGAGCCAACUAGUAACAGUUUCCAGAAUCUCUUCUUGGGUUAGUUUCUGAGAAAUAAAAUUUCCAGUGGGUAAAUUCUUGUCUUCUUAUUUAAUAUCAUUUUAUGUUCUCACUCUUUUCAAAAAUAAAAUGUUUUCAGAAUUUAAAAAAGAAUAAAAAGGCAACUUUUUAAGGAAUAAUAAUUUUUAAUUAAUGUACUUGACAUUAUAAUCAGUUUGGCUGUAUAGGGAAAAUGACUUAAUAUGGCAAUUCUAUCAGUAUAAUUGGUUAUCAUGUGAGCUGCUUUUGGAUACAUCUUCGUAGCUUCUAAUAUUUUCAUACAUUUUCUUGUCAUCCCACUCUAUAACUACUGCUUUUUCUCUUUUGAUGUUGGGAGAGAUGGCACACAGGAAGAGACUGAGACAGUUAUCUGGGAAUCUCUAAAACUGAAAAUUUGAGUUUUUUGUCUCUCUUUUUUUAUCAUCAAAAUAUAAGCAGUUUGGAGAGGUUGUUGGCCCACCCCUUCAAAGCUAUGGAGGUGGGUUCCAUUUGGAUGGUCCUGAUAUGCAUAUUAGGUGCUUUGGUUGCUCUGAAAAGGAUUCUACAGAGAGCUAAUGGGUGGCUCUAUGAAGCCAAACUGGGUGAAAUACAGUCUUCUCUGCCUCCAGGUGAUCUGGGUUGGCCUUUCAUUGGUAAUAUGUGGUCAUUUCUCAGAGCUUUCAAGUCCACUGAUCCUGAUUCUUUUAUGCGCUCUUUUAUCACCAGGUCAUUUCUCUUACCUUUCUUCAUUUAUUUUGUUAUUUUUUACAUAUUAUCGUAGUUCCUACAUGAUAACCAUUUCCUCUUCAUCUAAUUAACUAGAUCAUAUCAAUGCAUAAGUUUCUUCUGAAUUUGGUAAUUUAAUUCUAAAGUAGUUAGCUGACAAAUGAAUUCUUCAGGGUGGGAGAGCUGGCCUUUUGUUACUUUCAUUGCCCUUGUUAAUUUUAUCUUUUAAGCUUUUGCUAUUAUUGCUUGGAUUAAAAAUCUGAACUCUGGUCUGUGUAUCUUUUCCUUCCCUUCCUGUGACCCAUAAUUAGGUGACCAGAUAUUGUUUAUGCCUGUCAAUGCAUACUUCUUAGUUCUUUGCUCAUCUCAAUUCUGGAUCUAAUCUCUAAUCUCCUUAGCACUUGUUGAUGUCUAAAAAUAAAUUAAAAACCAAAAUGUUGAAUUAUGAGAGGCAUGGGAAUUGAAAAAAUUGCCCAGUCAAGGCAUUUUUAUGUAACCUGGUCUUACACAGUUACUGGUAAGGGAAAAUAUAACAUGAGAUGAUUACUGUAGUGUCAAAUUACAAAAAUUGAUAAGCCCCACAUAGUAGUCUAUACCUAAUGUUUGGUGGUGGAAUUGAUUUAAAUAGGGUGUUCCUGUUAAACUGCCUAUGCUAAGAAGGAGAGAAAAUAUAAAUGCCAAUUGUUGUUACUUUAACUUGAGGAAAUGUUAAUGGAAUUACUGUGUGUACUAUAAAUUCUGUUUCUUCAUAAGUGAAGUUUAGUGGUUGUCAAAUCAUGAUUCUAUACAAUUAAAACACAAUCCAAAAAUAUAUAUUCAUAUAUAAAAUGCUGUAAAUAAAUCACUUGGAGAUAGAUUAGUGGGCUGUUAACCAUUUUGAUAUUAAAGAUUUUGUGGCGUGGAUUAUAACCGACCAAUGUUGUCCUGUAUGCAUGUUAUAUUUGGAAUGAUUUAAGAAUAGAGACUUAUUAGCAAGUAGCAAUUAGUAAAGCAAGAUAUGAAAUGAAUGGUAAUUAUAAUCACAUGAACUGUUUCAAUUAUUAUUCAUAAUAUCCAAGGGAAUGUGGAUCCAAUCUAUGAUCUAUCCAGAGAUUUCCUUGCCCCACCCUCCAUUCCUUCAUGCCUCAUUGUGUGCAGCAAAAAGUAUUGGGCUCAAUGAUGGGCUUUCCAGCCCCAAGUUUGGAAAAGAAGUAGGGAUAUGUAUGCAACCGAUUGAGAUGAAUGAUCAAAACAAUUAAUGCAGAUAUGGACGUACUGGAAUCUACAAGGCCUUCAUGUUUGGGAGGCCCAGUGUGUUUGUGACAACGCCUGAAACCUGCAAAAGAGUAUUAAUUGAUGAUGAUGCAUUUAAGCCUGGUUGGCCAAGCUCCACCAUGGAGCUCAUUGGAAAGAAAUCCUUCAUAGGUAUUUCUUAUGAAGAGCACAAGCGUCUCCGACGGCUGACUGCAUCUCCUGUCAAUGGUCAUGAGGCUCUGUCUGUCUAUCUGCAUUACAUUGAAGAAAAUGUGAUAUCUGCUUUGGAAAAAUGGUCAAACAUGGGACAAAUUGAGUUCUUGACUGAACUCAGGAAAGUUACUUUCAGGAUCAUAAUGUAUAUCUUCCUUAGCUCUGAAAGUGAGCCAGUCAUGGAGGCUUUGGAGAGGGAAUAUACAGCACUUAACUAUGGGGUUAGAGCCAUGGCAAUCAAUCUUCCAGGAUUUGCUUACCACAAAGCACUCAAGGCUCGCAAAAACCUUGUGGCUGCAUUACAAUCUGUAGUAGAUGAGCGCAGAAAUCAAAGGAAGGGUGGUAUUUCAUCAAAGAAGAAAGACAUGAUGGAUGCUCUAAUGGAUGUUGAAGACGAAAAUGGUAGAAAAUUGAGUGAUGAAGAAAUAAUUGAUGUUCUGUUGAUGUACUUGAAUGCAGGCCAUGAAUCUUCUGGCCAUGUCACAAUGUGGGCUACAAUUUUCCUUCAGGAGCACCCCGAAUUUCUCCAAAAGGCUAAGGACGAGCAGAAGGAAAUCUUAAAAAGGAGGCCACUAACACAAAAGGGAUUGACACUUAAAGAAGUUCGAGACAUGGAAUACCUUUCUAAGGUGAUUGAUGAAACACUUCGUUUGAUAACAUUUUCACUUGUGGUUUUCCGAGAGGCAAAAGCAGAUGUCAAUAUGAACGGUGAGUUCAUGCUUUGCUUUUUUCUUUUCUUUUAAUAUUUUAUUCUUAUCUACACCAUCUCAUGUACAGAGUGCAGAUAUGAAUUCAUUAUAUUUAGUAGACAACAAGAGGAUUUUGAAAUGUGAUCACCACUACAAGAAAAGGUCCUUUGCAGCCAGAACAAUUUGUCCUAUGAAUGUCAUAACUUUGGCAUGAAAAAAACUUAUUCUCUAUCUGAAUAAAUUAAAGUUGUCUUUGAUUUAAUGAUUUGAAAUUGGCUUGGAAUUCAGGAUAUGUCAUCCCCAAGGGUUGGAAAGUUCUUGUAUGGUUCAGAAGUGUUCACUUGGAUCCUGAAAUCUAUCCAAAUCCAAAGGAAUUUAAUCCUUCCCGGUGGGAUGUAAGUGCUUUAGCUUUUGCACUUUUUCUUCCUUUAAUGAAUUACAUAUGGAUCUUAUUCAUGUUUAUCCAUUUGUUCUCAUAUACUUAACCUGUUCAUCUGCUUUAAUUUGGAUGUAUUAACCUGUUCAUCUGCUUUAAUUUGGAUGUAUUAACCUGUUCAUCUGCUUUAAUUUGGAUGUAUUAACCUGUUCAUCUGCUUUAAUUUGGAUGUAAUGUAGAAUUAUACAGCCAAAGCAGGAACCUUCCUUCCCUUCGGAGCAGGAAGUAGGAUGUGCCCUGGAAAUGAUUUAGCAAAGCUUGAAAUCUCCAUCUUUCUGCAUCAUUUUCUCCUUAAUUAUGAGUAAGCCCCAGCCCCUACUCCCACCUAUAUUAAUUAUCAGCGACAUUUUUGAGUCAUCCUUUCAGUUUUGUACAAGAUAUGUGGCCAAUCAUGGGAUGAAUUAAAAAACAAAAAGGAAAAAACAAAAGAAAAAAUAAGAAGAAUUUAUCUAGUUUCUCUGAGCCCCAAAUGCUAGAUAGACUUCACUCUUUGGCUUCUUUGCAUUCUUAUGGAGCUUAAUGGCCUGCUUGGAAUAUUCUUCUUUAAGGAUAUGCAAUAAGGGCCAGAUAGUGUUCAUGAUACAAUUUUUACAAAGCUAGCCCUCGAUUAUGAUAUGGAACCACCAAUUCUCAUAAAAAGAAAAAAAGAAGUUCAAUUUUUAGUUGCUAUUACUUGACAAUCCUGCAUAAACUUGAUUCUAACUACAACUAAGACGAUGAAUGGCAAUGACAAUAAUUCUGAUGGCAGCAAAGGAAAUUUUCUUUGAUAUUAGAUUCUGCUUUGUUUUCACAUCUUUUUCUGAUUACACAGGCUUGAACGUCUCAAUCCUGGAUGUUCAUUAAUGUACUUACCUCAUUCAAGACCGAAAGACAACUGCUUUUCAAGAAUCAAGAAAAUUCAAGAUUCACUUAUGAAGAAACAGAAAUGAAGAAACAACAAACAUUAAAUCCAUACAUAAAGGACAAGCCAACAUUGCAUACCUAAGGUUGGUUGGUUAUAUUGUUGUAUCCGCACCAUGAAAUCUUUAAUAUCAAAAUGGUUUGAAGCCCUCUAAUCUAUUUCCAGCUAUUUCUUUGC